rnacentral:rRNA from 1 species
GACGAACGCUGGCGGCGUGCUUAACACAUGCAAGUCGAACGGAAAGGCCCUGCUUUUGUGGGGUGCUCGAGUGGCGAACGGGUGAGUAACACGUGAGUAACCUGCCCUUGACUUUGGGAUAACUUCAGGAAACUGGGGCUAAUACCGGAUAGGAGCUCCUGCUGCAUGGUGGGGGUUGGAAAGUUUCGGCGGUUGGGGAUGGACUCGCGGCUUAUCAGCUUGUUGGUGGGGUAGUGGCUUACCAAGGCUUUGACGGGUAGCCGGCCUGAGAGGGGGCCCGGCCACAUGGGCCGUGAGAUACGGCCCAGACUCCUACGGGAGGCAGCAGUGGGGAAUAUUGCACAAGGGGCGGAAGCCUGAUGCAGCAACGCCGCGUGCGGGAUGACGGCCUUCGGGUUGUAAACCGCUUUCGCCUGUGACGAAGCGUGAGUGACGGAAAUGGGUAAAGAAGCACCGCCAAACUACGU